CCUACGGGAGGCAGCAGUGGGGAAUAUUGCGCAAUGGGCGAAAGCCUGACGCAGCGACGCCGCGUGAGGGAUGAAGGUCUUCGGAUCGUAAACCUCUGUCAGCAGGGAAGAACGGUCACUGUGCUAAUCAGCAGUGAAUUGACGGUACCUGCAAAGGAAGCACCGGCUAACUCCGGGCCAGCAGCCGCGGUAAUACGGAGGGUGCGAGCGUUAAUCGGAAUUACUGGGCGUAAAGCGCUCGUAGGCGGUAUGUCAAGUCAAGGGUGAAAUCCCCGCGCUCAACGUGGGAACUGCCUUUGAAACUGGCAAACUGGAGUGUGUGAGAGGAUAGUGGAAUUCCAGGUGGAGGAGUGAAAGCCGUAGAUAUCUGGAGGAACAUCAGUGGCGAAGGCGACUAUCUGGCACAUAACUGACGCUGAGGAGCGAAAGCGUGGGUAGCAAACAGGAUUAGAUACCCUUGUAGUC
rnacentral:rRNA from 1 species